AGCCUUGGCACACCUUCGGGUGCGUCUCUAGAUUUGCACUCUAGCGUGAAUCACUACAAGAC
rnacentral:tRNA from 1 species